rnacentral:rRNA from 1 species
CCUACGGGAGGCAGCAGUAGGGAAUAUUGCUCAAUGGGGGAAAGCCUGAUGCAGCAACGCCGCGUGGGGGAUGAAGGUUUUCGGAUUGUAAACUCCUUUUGUUAGAGAAGAGAGUGACGGUAUCUAACGAAUAAGCAACGGCUAACUCCCGCCCAGCAGCCGCGGUAAUACGGAGGGUGCAAGCGUUACUCGGAAUGACUGGGCGGAAAGGGCACGGAGGCGGGAUCGCAAGUCAGAUGUGAAAUCCUAUGGCUUAACCAUAGAACUGCAUUUGAAACUGGUAUUCUAGAGUAUGGGAGAGGUAGGUGGAAUUCUUGGUGUAGGGGUCAAAUCCGUAGAGAUCAAGAGGAAUACUCAUUGCGACGGCGACCUGCUAGAACAUAACUGACGCUGAUGCGCGAAAGCGUGGGGAGCAAACAGGAUUAGAUACCCUAGUAGUC